rnacentral:lncRNA from 1 species
GGUUGUGGGAUGAGGGGUCUCUCAGUAGCGGUUGAGAGCCCAUCCUCUGACCACUGCUUUUUCAUGUAAAAGUCAGAAUCGUUCAAUCAGUCAUUAACUGGUUUAAGGCUGGCUAAACCACCUGGUUUGAAAUGCGUGAAAAUUACACAUGUACUAGACUUCUGUGAUUCCUUUGGGUGUGUAUUUUACAUAUCUCAGAAAUCAGAAACAUGAGUGCCCUAUCUAGCAGCCAGCAGUCCACCAAAAUGCCUACAAAACUUUAUCGUAAGUUCAAAAGGAUAGCGUAAUGCCACUGAAGUAAGCUCUCGAACCUGUAAGUAAUGUAUGGUCUUCCCCAUUCUAGGUUGAUGGCGAGGAUUUCUAGUUACUCAGGCCAAAAACUUUAUAUCAUCCAUAACUCCUCUCAUACUCUCAUUUUCACUUUCAAUCUGUCAAGAAAGCUUGUUGGUUGUACCUUCAAAAUAGAACAGAGUGGGCAACAUAGCGAGACCCUGUCUCUACAAAAAAAAAAAAAAAAAAUUACCCUGGUGUGUUGGCGUGUACCUAUAGUUCCAGGUACUCUGGAGGCUGAGGCCAGGAGUUACGUUACAGUGAGCCAUCAUCAGGCCACUGCACUCCAGCUUGGGCUGGACAGAGUGACACGUGUUCCAAAAAAAAAAAAAAUUCUCCAUCUUUCCUACCUUACUAUUUUUCCUUUCAUCCCAUGACACUUCCCACCUUGUAACAAUCUUUAUAAUUCAGAGUCAGCCCUCCGCAUCCAUGGCUUCUGCGUUUCUGGAUUCAACCAACCACAGAUGGAAAAUAUUUGGGAAAAAAAACACAACAAUUUAAAAAUACAAAUAAAAACCAAUACAAUAUAACAGCUAUUUACAUAGCACUUACAUUGUAUUAUAAGUAAUCUAUAGAUAAUUUAUACAGGAGGAUAUAUGUGGGUUAUGUGCAAAUACUAUAUCAUUUUAUAUUAGAGACCUGAGAGGAUUUUGGUACUGGUCGUGGUCCUAGAGCCAAUCCCCCUCGGAUACUGAGUUAACCAUAAGAUCUUUAUCUACAUCAUACCAUAAGCAUUUUGAUUUUCCAGUUACUGUGAGUACAGUGAUGACCAUUUACUUGACUUUUAAUGCAGUUUUUUGACCAAUGAUACGCUACAAUCCUAUUUCACUGAAUGAGAAUAACAUGAUAGAGUAGAGGAAGGUUACAUAAAGACUAUUAAUUCUAAAAAUUUCCUAGAACAAAAAAAAAAAACCAGAAAAUUCCCGAACUUGAUAUAUGUGCUUGUAAGCCUCCCUUUGAAUUACAAAUGUAGUAACCUUGUGUGAAUGCCUUAAGUAGUAAAUUUUCUAUCAUUUACCUAUAAAGGGUAGUAUUCAUUAUGUAAACAUUUAUUUUCAGAUUUUUCAUAUUUUGUAACAAAACAUUACGUGAUUGAAUACCAUGAUCUAAUUUCAGUUGCUAUAGCUAUUCAUGCACCCUUCUCAUCAGUUAAAAAAAAAAAAAAAGUCAAUUAAGGACACAAUGCCAUUCAGUUGAAUGACACUUUUUUUUUUUUUUUUUGAGACAGGGUCUCACUUUGUCACCCAGGCUGGAGUGCAGUGGCCUAAUCUGUGCUAUCUCGGCUCUCUGCAACCUCUGUCUUCCGGGCUCAAGUGAUCCUCCCACCUCAGCCUCCCAAGGAGCUAGGACUACAAACGCACACUACUACACCUAGCUAAUUUUUGUGUUUUUGGUAGACAGGGUCUCACUAUGUUGCCCAGGCUGGUCUGAAACUCCCAGGCUCACACAAUCCGCCCUCCUCGCCUCACAAAGUGCUGGGAUUACAGGUGUAAGCCACGGUGUCUGGUCUGGAUGAUACUUUUUGUAGAGUAUGUGUGCAUAAUUAUUUGCUCAAUGUUAUAUUCAUAGCAGUCUCUUUACACAUUUAAUUUAUCCUUUAUGAUUUAAAACAAUUUAAAGCUACAGAUUACAUGUUACAAUUUGAUUUUUUAUAAAAUUAAAUAGACUUUUGUUUAUAAAAAAAUUGACAAUGUGUUUCAUCAAUGUUAAUCUGUAGUUUGUAAUUACAAUAAUACCAAAUAAAA